rnacentral:lncRNA from 1 species
CCACAGCCAUAUAUACAUGCUUAUUAGACUAUGAACCAUACAUUUACUUUUUACUGCUUUUGAGCAUUGAGUGUGGUCAAGCUGCGUAGACCCUUAGGAGCUUGUCAUACGGUUAAAAUCAAGAUUCACUUGCACGUUCACUCAUACAUGCUGCUUCUGUUCCAGAAGUACGCAUCCACAUACAUCCACUCAUUUUCAUCUCCAGAUUCACCUAAAAUUAUUCUACUCCUAUCCGGGAGAGAAUAGCCAAAAAUAUUAUUCCAUUCUUGUUUUUCCCUGUGAAAUAAAUGCUCGAGAUAUUUUGGUUACUACCACUUGCUACAUUAUUCUAGGAGGGUGAGUGCUCUAAAGAAAAGAGAAGAAAAAGGAAAAAUACGAGGAACUAAAAAUGGGCAAGUGCCCGGAACCUCGAAGAAAAUAAAAAGUGAGACGAGAGGUAAAAAUGGACAAGUGUCCAACAGUAGAAUUAGGGGUACAAGAUACCCACCUGAGAGAAAAGAAAAUAAAAUAUAGAGCAUCUCAUUACCCUCAAAAGCCUCAAGUGCAAGGAAGGUAUGUACCCUCUCAAAAGAGCAAAAGUAGAAUUAGACUUUCACCAUUAUUUUCACCAUUAUCACCAUUCAUUCGCCACACAUGCACAUCUUGAUUUGACUUAUUGACUUAUUCUUCUGGAUCCAUGGUUUGACUAUGCAAUAAAUGUCUUGUAAGUAUGUAUUAGCUGUCUCCCACCUAUGAGCUCCAGAUAUCAAAACCUUAUUAGAGUAGGGUGAGAGAGAAGGCAAUGUCACUAUGCCUCAUACCAAAAAUACCACAUACUUUGAGAGAAGGAAUACACCAUUACUGCCUUGGUAAGGAUCCAGAAAUACCACAAAAGAGAGACUAGAGAGAGUCAUACAAGGAAUCUUUGAGUUUUAUUUGAAAAUCUACAAAAAAAACUCUAGAGCUAUAGUUGAUCAAGAACAAGAGACAUGGCGCUUGACUUGACCGUUCUAUCCUUUAACUACUCAUGACACAAGUGACGGUUACAAGCCCCAUGGUGGAAGGAAAUAUGAGUAAGUUUAAAUCUUAACAGUUUACUCUAACCCAA